GAAAGUAUCAACAUCAAGGCAGAAACUACCACCAUGCUGAUGUUUGUGUUUAUCACUCAGUUCUACCACAAGGUACCAGCUACAGUCUUCUAUGCAAUGUUGAACAGAAGUGACAUUUACUGAGCACCCUGCAGCCCAGGCGCAGAAAGUACAGCUGUAACGAUGAAUGCCCCCAUACCGCACGUUUCUCCACCCAACUACCCUCACUUUACAUUUCCACGGAUAAAUCAAUUUAAGAAGGAUGAAGAACAAUGAAAAGA